rnacentral:lncRNA from 1 species
AUGAAACAAUGUUUGGAAUGUAAGCCUAGGAGCCAGGAGACUCAGGCCCAGCCUUACAUCACUUGGUGCCCCGGGAUGAUCACAAUCUUCUCAAGGCUUCAGCUCCCUUUUUUUUCAGAUAUUAAUUUUCAAUCCCUGGAUAUGAUAGCUGGUCAGUGUCCACUGAAGGAAGGAAGGAAGGAAUCUUGAAGCGCUUCCCUCACUGCACCCCGCAUGCCAAAAGAAAUGCAAUGAAAGGACUUAAAAUAAGAAGAGAGUGCAGUAUAUAAGCGGUUUUGUGUUUUUUGCUUUUAUCUGUCGAAAGAAACAAACAUAAGAUUUUUUUAUGCUUUCAAAAAUCUAAAUCAUGAUCUAUUUUCUGUUGCUGUUUCUAUUUUUAUACCAAUAAAAACAAGCAUCAUGUCUAUUUCCCGAAGAAG